rnacentral:tRNA from 1 species
UCCCUGGUGGCUCAGAGGUUAAAGUGUCUGCCUCCAAUGCGGGAGACCUGGGUUCGAUCCCUGGCUCGGGAA